rnacentral:rRNA from 1 species
GAACGCUGGCGGCGUGCCUAAGACAUGCAAGUCGAGGGGGUUUAGACCCCCGGCGAACGGGUGAGUAACGCGUGGGUACUUCCAACAACUUUGGAAUAUUCUCCCGAAAGGGAGUGCAAUACCAAAUGUGAUCGCAAGAUUAAAGGAGCAAUCCGGUUGUUGCGAGGCCUGCGUCCCAUCAGCUAGUUGGUAGGGUAAAAGCCUACCAAGGCUACGACGGGUAGCGGUACCGAGAGGUAGAACCGCCACACUGGGACUGCGACACGGCCCAGACUCCUACGGGAGGCAGCAGUUUGGAAUUUUGGACAAUGGGCGAAAGCCUGAUCCAGCGACGCCGCGUGCACGAAGAAGGCCUUCGGGUUGUAAAGUGCUUUUGUUGAUGAAAAAUUUUUGAUUGUAAUCAGCGAAUAAGAGGUUGCUAACUCUGUGCCAGCAGCAGUGGUAAUACAGAGACCUCAAGCGUUAUCCGGAAUCAUUGGGCGUAAAGCGUGCCGAUAGGUGGUGUGUAUAGUCUUGGGUAAAAGCCCGAAGCUCAACUUCGGAGUUUGCUUAAGAUACUGACACACUAGAGGGGCAAAGAGGUGCUUGGAACGAGUGGUGUAGUAGUGAAAUGCGUUGAUAUCACUCGGAACACCGAAAGCGAAGGCAGAGCACUGGGUGCCACCUGACACUG